CCUACGGGUGGUUGCAGUGGGGAAUAUUGGACAAUGGGCGAAAGCCUGAUCCAGCCAUGCCGCGUGUGUGAAGAAGGCCUUCGGGUUGUAAAGCACUUUCAGUGGGGAAGAAAGCCUUGGGGCUAAUACCCUCGAGGAAGGACAUCACCCACAGAAGAAGCACCGGCUAACUCCGUGCCAGCAGCCGCGGUAAUACGGAGGGUGCGAGCGUUAAUCGGAAUUACUGGGCGUAAAGCGCGCGUAGGCGGUCUGAUAAGCCGGUUGUGAAAGCCCCGGGCUCAACCUGGGAACGGCAUCCGGAACUGUCAGGCUAGAGUGCAGGAGAGGAAGGUAGAAUUCCCGGUGUAGCGGUGAAAUGCGUAGAGAUCGGGAGGAAUACCAGUGGCGAAGGCGGCCUUCUGGACUGACACUGACGCUGAGGUGCGAAAGCGUGGGUAGCAAACAGGAUUAGAUACCCCAGUAGUC
rnacentral:rRNA from 1 species